AGAAGAUCAGGUAAUUGCAAAACAAGGAAUCAGAGAAAAUGGCCUAUGGGAUAAUGAGGCGAAAUAAAAGGAAACAAGUCGAAACCAACAACUGGAAGGUACGUGCGACUUGGGAUGCGUGCUUUUGUCGUUCUCCCCUUUCUCCUUUGGUGUUGGCUAGACAAUGCGGCAUAGUUUUCGGUUAGUUUCAGAGAAACUGCGUUGUCCUCGGAUGAGAUUCAGAGCAUGUGUAAGACAAAAGAUGAGCAAGACAAAUUUCUUUUGCUUUUGCGUGCGGCACGCCAGUUUUUCGGUUCAUACAUCUCUCAGUUUUGGCUUCGAUUCAGUUCGGAUCUUGCUCUUUGUGCUUCGUUGUUGAUUCAUGCUCAACUAUCUGCGAUCCUCUGGGACUAACAUCACAGAAUCAAAGUAUGGCUAGCCAUUCAUCUUUACCCGAUUUCAUCAAUUUGGAGAGGGGACGACAACAAUUACCCGUCAGAUUUGGGGAGAGAGAGAAGGAAGAAAGGAAGAUAACAUGCAUGAGAGACGAUCAAGCUGAGAGGAAGAAUUAAAGCACUGAAGAAAUUUACCAUCAAUUACAUCAAGAGCAGAUGCAUGAACCACAGAGCUCAAUGAAACGAAGGGAAGCCAACGAUAUAAUUCAACUAUUUUCCGGGUUAAUAGCAAUCGAGCUUGAGCGGCUCUUGGUUUUUGUUGCUUUGGAAGCUCUCUUUGUGGACUCCAAUUUGGGGGUUUAGGGUUUCUGAUCUGAACAAACACUACAGGCAGGCAUUCAUGGGAAGUAGUUCAAUUCAGAUUCGCAAAUUCAACCAGCAGGAGUUCUCGGAUGCAAUCACGGGAAAAAGAGAGAUGAUCAUAGUCAGAGUCAAGAAGAAGUGGCUCUCUUCUAUUUGCAUCUCCGUUGACAUCUUCAAGGGUCCAUUCAAUUACAUGUUGAUCUUAUGCUCUCUACCUUAUUUUUUCGAAUUUCAAUUGAUGCGUGCAGGAGUUUGCGAAGUAACAAAGCAUUUUCCAACUACCAUUAUCAGUGGUAGGAGCAUAGACAAGGUGAAAAAGUUUGUAAAGUUGAAUAAUGAAUAUUAUGCUGGAACAUAAUGUCACCACCAAGCCCUGUGAAGGCCAGUGAUGGGAAGCAGCACAAUAUAAGAAGGGAAAUGAAGUCCUUUUUCAACCUGCCAAGAAAUUUUUGCCUGCAAUUUGAAAGACUCACAGAAUUGGAGGAUGAUAACAGGAGCAAGGUAGAAGAUAACAAAACAAAUUUUGCGUUUCUAUGCACUUUCAACCAGUCAAAGAACAGGAUUUCAAACCACUAGAAGAGAAGGUCAAGUUUAUAUUUGAAGACUACCCGGAAUCCCACUUGAGUUGGGGCACAAAGUUAUAGAAAAAUCUUAAAAGAUCUCUAAACAUUCACCAUAUUAUAAGACCUGUGAUACAAUGGGAUAAAGGUCAUGCCCUGGAAUAUUUUCUGGAGACUCUCGGGCUUAAUAAUGCCAGCGAUGUUCUUCCAAUGUACAUUUGAGGUGACAGAACAAUUGAAGAUGCUUUCAAGAAACAGGAAGAAGAAAGAAGAUCUUGGAGAAAACUACAGAUUGGAGUUGGGUUAGGACUAAUUUCCUGGGUUAGGACAAGGAUUACUAAUGCAAUUGAAGUUAUUUUGUUGCCUAAUUUAAUAGGCAUUGGUGGCAAGAUUGAAAAAUAGAAGCGUAUGAUGUAUGCAUAAUAUAUUUAUCCAUCCUCUAUUUUUUUUUCCAUUAAAAAUAGAAGGGAAGGGCAGACAUGCAGCACAAUUCCACACCACUGCGGACCCCAUACUCACAGCAUCAUUUACAAUCCUGGCACUAAGCAGCUCAUCUCAAGAGAGUCUGAUAUGCUCCACGCUCAGGUUUGCCCAUACUAUCCAUCUGUUUCUCUAAUUUUAUAGAUUCCCGCCUAUAACAGUACAUGCCAAUAUGUACUGAGGAAAUUGCCAAUAUGUGUAAUCGUUGCUAGUAAGUUGCUACUUUUUUAGUUUUUUUAAGUUACUUUCCAAUUAUUUUUGAACUGUCGUUCUGUUAUCUUAUAUUAUGAUUUUGGGAGAAUUUUUUUUUUUUUUAACACUUUCACAAUGUGCAUACGGAUGUUUUUUUUAAAAAAAAGUAAACUUGAAAGAGAAUUAAUAUAUAGUAUAGAUUCAUUUUAAAAUUUUUAUAAUGUAAGAUAAUUUUGGUGGCGGUGUUCUACCCAUUUGAUUAAAAUGGCCUGUGUCGUCAGAUGGGCCGCAGGCCUA